rnacentral:lncRNA from 1 species
CCAGUGGGACUCUUUUAUAUUGUCUCCCUUGAACCAACAAUUCUAGCCUUGGGAAUUUAACCCAGGAAAAAUCUCCCCAGUGGGGAAUCUUAACCCACAAUACUGGUUUAGACAAUUUUAGGCACAGGCAUGUUUUAAUGAGGUCACUCACCCAAAAGACAUCUGAUCCUGGAGAAGUUUCCUCUCUGAAAAGGAUAAAGAGUACCAGGGGGCCUGGGGUGCCACGGUGGGAAAGAGGAAUCCAAUCAGCUGAGCCUCCAGACAAAAUGUCUAAGCGGCCACUUAGGAUCAGUGAAAGACCCUGCACAAAGCCAGCGGCUCCAGAGCCUCAGGCAGGUGGUCACAAGACCUUCUCUCUUCUUGGUUGCCAAAAUUUGUUACCACACAAAUGGGGUUCUCCUACUUGAUGAAUAUUUUAAAAUAGAAGCCAAUUAUUAUGGCAUCAUCAUUUGGGAAAAGAAAUCAGCUUUAUUCUGUGUGAUUGAUCUGGAGGGAGAUGGGGGCAUGUACCCUCUGAUCUGUCUCCCCACUUCAGGAUUUGGGGCGAAAUUUAGAGGUUAGGGAGAACAGCCUGGCAUGUGGAAAUGCUUGCGGGACAGGUUUUGAUUGGUGGACUUCAAGUAUUUAUGGUCAGGUUCUAAACUUUUAUAGAAAUGUGAGGAAGUAAUUUUAACACAGGAUCUGCCUGAAUGAUGGACCCUGGCUUCUGAUAUGAAUCUGACUUUUAAGUUCUGGUCAUGCCCUGGUGCUUUCGUUCCAUGGGAAGGAGAAUCUCCAGUUUUGUGGUCAUUUCAGGUCAAGAUUUCUUCUUCUGCACAUGCUCUGGCUACAUGGCUUUGCAAAUUAUCUGAAAGACAAUUUAAUUACUGUUAAUAAGAUGGGGUCAGUUCAACUGGUCCUGGAGGGCAAAGGCCCUAUUUUCCACGAAGGUCACAUUCAAACACGUGAGGGGGUUAGGACAUGGACAUUUCUUUCCGGGGGACACAAAUCAUACCCACUACAAUGAGGCAAGAAAAUUGCCAAACUGCAUGUAAGAUGAGUUCUUAUCUUUUGUAGCUAAAAACGCACACAUACGCAAACAUGCAUAAAUAUAUAUAUAUGCUCGCAUAAGAAAACUGCUGGAAAAAAAUAAUGCAGAUGAAAACAUGCAGGGCUUCUCUUUGGGUGGUACGUUUUGGGGUAAUGAUAUUUUCCCGUUAUCUAUUUUUACCUAUAAUAAAUACUUAAUGCUCUUGCAACUAUAUAUUAGAAAAAGGAGGAGAGAAGCAAGAGCAUUCCCAGCCCACUCACAGAAAAGCCUUUAGAAUGGCAAUGUCCCUGAUGCACAGGAAGGUUUGGGAAACACAGUGAAGUCCAGUUAUAAAUAUAUAAUCAAUCAGCAAACCUACCACUCAUUAAUAUAAAAAGCUAUCACAUUUCUUCAUUUCCUCCCAUUAUAUUCUCUGUGCAUGCAUAGAUACAUCACCCGUGUAUUUCAUAUAUCUGAAGACUCAGAGUUGCUAUAGAUCAUGAAACCCGCAAUUAGAUGUGCCCAAGCUUA